GAUGAACGCUGGCGGCGUGCUUAACACAUGCAAGUCGAACGGAAAGGCUCCUGCUUGCAGGGGUACUCGAGUGGCGAACGGGUGAGUAACACGUGGGUGAUCUGCCCUGCACUUCGGGAUAAGCCUGGGAAACUGGGUCUAAUACCGGAUAGGACGAUGGUUUGGAUGCCAUUGUGGAAAGUUUUUUCGGUGUGGGAUGAGCUCGCGGCCUAUCAGCUUGUUGGUGGGGUAAUGGCCUACCAAGGCGUCGACGGGUAGCCGGCCUGAGAGGGUGUACGGCCACAUUGGGACUGAGAUACGGCCCAGACUCCUACGGGAGGCAGCAGUGGGGAAUAUUGCACAAUGGGCGCAAACCUGAUGCAGCGACGCCGCGUGGGGGAUGACGGCCUUCGGGUUGUAAACUCCUUUCGCUAGGGACGAAGCGCAAGUGACGGUACCUGGAGAAGAAGCACCGGCUAACUACGUG
rnacentral:rRNA from 1 species